AGUGAGCGCUGGCGGUAGGCCUAACACAUGCAAGUCGAACGGCAGCACAGGAGAGCUUGCUCUCUGGGUGGCGAGUGGCGGACGGGUGAGGAAUACAUCGGAAUCUACUUUUUCGUGGGGGAUAACGUAGGGAAACUUACGCUAAUACCGCAUACGACCUACGGGUGAAAGCAGGGGACCUUCGGGCCUUGCGCGAUUGAAUGAGCCGAUGUCGGAUUAGCUUGUUGGCGGGGUAAAGGCCCACCAAGGCGACGAUCCGUAGCUGGUCCGGGAGGAUGAGCAACAACAGUGGAACGGGGAGACGGUCCAGACUCGUACGGGAGGCAGCAGUGGGGAAUAUUGGACAAUGGGCGCAAGCCUGAUCCAGCCAUCCCGCGUGGGUGAAGAAGGCCUUCGGGUUGUAAGGCCCUUUUGUUGGGAAAGAAAUCCAGCUGGCUAAUACCCGGUUGGGAUGACGGUACCCAAAGAAUAAGCACCGGCUAACUUCGUGCCAGCCGCCGCCGUAA
rnacentral:rRNA from 1 species